CAGAGUAGACAGACAAGCGUAUCAGUGUCACCGGGACGGGGAGUUGCCCGGUGAACGAAGAAGGGGUUGUCUUUCUGCCGCGGUCGGACAUGUCCGGCAGGGCAGAGGCGGCACCCUCGCGGUUUGUUUGUCGCAUCCCGCUGU
rnacentral:ncRNA from 1 species